UACAGAGGGUGCGAGCGUUGCUCGGAAUCACUGGGCGUAAAGGGUGCGUAGGCGGGUCUUUAAGUCAGAGGUGAAAUCCUGGAGCUCAACUCCAGAACUGCCUUUGAUACUGAAGAUCUUGAGUUCGGGAGAGGUGAGUGGAACUGCGAGUGUAGAGGUGAAAUUCGUAGAUAUUCGCAAGAACACCAGUGGCGAAGGCGGCUCACUGGCCCGAUACUGACGCUGAGGCACGAAAGCGUGGGGAGCAAACAGG
rnacentral:rRNA from 1 species